rnacentral:tRNA from 1 species
UUAAAUUAUUAUUUAAUUUAAUUAAAUAAAUAUCUAAAUUAAUAAGUAUAUCAUUUACAAUGAUAAGAUGUUUAAUAACUUUAUUUAAAUU